rnacentral:rRNA from 1 species
UACGUAGGGGGCAAGCGUUGUCCGGAAUCAUUGGGCGUAAAGAGCGUGUAGGCGGUUCGGUAAGUCGGCUGUGAAAGUCCAGGGCUCAACCCUGGGAUGCCGGUCGAUACUGCCGGACUAGAGUUCGGAAGAGGCGAGUGGAAUUCCCGGUGUAGCGGUGAAAUGCGCAGAUAGUCGGGAGGAACACCUAUGGCGAAGGCAGCUCGCUGGGACGUUACUGACGCUGGAGACGCGAAAGCGUGGGGAGCAAACAGG